rnacentral:rRNA from 1 species
CUCCUAAAGAGUAACGGAGGCGCUCAAAGGUUUCCUCAGAAUGGUUGGAAAUCAUUCAUAGAGUGUAAAGGCAUAAGGAAGCUUGACUGCGAGACUUACAAGUCGAGCAGGGUCGAAAGACGGACUUAGUGAUCCGGUGGUUCCGCAUGGAAGGGCCAUCGCUCAACGGAUAAAAGCUACCCCGGGGAUAACAGGCUUAUCUCCCCCAAGAGUUCACAUCGACGGGGAGGUUUGGCACCUCGAUGUCGGCUCAUCGCAUCCUGGGGCUGUAGUCGGUCCCAAGGGUUGGGCUGUUCGCCCAUUAAAGCGGUACGCGAGCUGGGUUCAGAACGUCGUGAGACAGUUCGGUCCCUAUCCGUCGUGGGCGUAGGAAAUUUGAGAGGAGCUGUCCUUAGUACGAGAGGACCGGGAUGGACAUACCUCUGGUGUACCAGUUGUCGUGCCAACGGCAUCGCUGGGUAGCUAUGUAUGGACGGGAUAAGUGCUGAAAGCAUCUAAGCAUGAAGCCCCCCUCAAGAUGAGAUUUCCCAACUUCGGUUAUAAGAUCCCUCAAAGAUGAUGAGGUUAAUAGGUUCGAGGUGGAAGCAUAGCGAUAUGUGGAGCUGACGAAUACUAAUCGAUCGAAGACUUAAUCAAAUU